rnacentral:tRNA from 1 species
GACAGCGUGUCCGAGUGGUUAAGGAGGUGGACUCGAAAUCCUCUAGACUCUGCCUGCGCAGGUUUGAAUCCUGCCGCUGUCG